UCCAGACUCCUACGGGAGGCAGCAGUGAGGAAUAUUGGUCAAUGGACGAAAGUCUGAACCAGCCAUGCCGCGUGCAGGAUGACGGCUCUAUGAGUUGUAAACUGCUUUUGUAUUAGGGUAAACACCCCUACGUGUAGGGGCUUGAAAGUAUAAUACGAAUAAGGAUCGGCUAACUCCGUGCCAGCAGCCGCGGUAAUACGGAGGAUCCAAGCGUUAUCCGGAUUUAUUGGGUUUAAAGGGUGCGUAGGCGGGCUUUUAAGUCAGCGGUAAAAAUUCGGGGCUCAACCCCGUCCGGCCGUUGAAACUGGGGGCCUUGAGUGGGCGAGAAGAAGGCGGAAUGCGUGGUGUAGCGGUGAAAUGCAUAGAUAUCACGCAGAACCCCGAUUGCGAAGGCAGCCUUCCGGCGCCCUACUGACGCUGAGGCACGAAAGUGCGGGGAUCGAACAGGAUUAGAUACCCCAGUAU
rnacentral:rRNA from 1 species